CCUACGGGAGGCUGCAGUGGGGGAUAUUGCACAAUGGGGGGAACCCUGAUGCAGCGACGCCGCGUGUGGGAAGACGGUCCUCUGGAUUGUAAACCACUGUCCCCAGGGACGAAAAUGACGGUACCUGGGGCGGAAGCUCCGGCUAACUACGUGCCAGCGGCCGCGGUCAUACGUAGGGAGCGAGCGUUGUCCGGAAUUAUUGGGGUUAAAGGGUGCGUAGGCUGUGAGGUAAGUCAGCGGGGAAAUGCCCCCGCUCGACGGGGUGAAGUGCCGUUGAUACUGCCUGGCUGGAAUGCGAGUGCCGUGGGAGGAAUGUGUGGUGUAGCGGUGAAAUGCAUAGAUAUCGCACAGAACACCGAUUGCGAAGGCAUCUCGCGGGUCCGAGAUUGACGCUGAUGCACGAAAGCGUGGGUAUCGAACAGGAUUAGAUACCCGUGUAGUC
rnacentral:rRNA from 1 species